rnacentral:rRNA from 1 species
CGUAGGUGACCUGCGGAAGGAUCAUUACCAGAGAGGAGCCGGCGCUCCUCGGGGCUCGACCCCGCGGGCUCCGUCCCGUUUCUUCCCCCCGUGUCUACCCACCCGUGUUGCUUUGGCGGGCCCGGGGCCUCUGCCCCUCCCUGCGGCUCGGCUGGUGGCCUCGCGCUCGCGCGCAGGGACGCCGCCGGCGGGGGGUGCCGCCCGUCCAUCGCCCUUGUCUAAUCCUGUUUAUCAGUGUCGUCCGAGUCCACAAGAACAAUCGUA